rnacentral:rRNA from 1 species
GACGAACGCUGGCGGCGUGCUUAACACAUGCAAGUCGAACGAAGAGCGAUGGAAGCUUGCUUCUCUCAAUCUUAGUGGCGAACUGGUGAGUAACGCGUAAUCAACCUGCCCUUCAGAGGGGGACAACAGUUGGAAACGACUGCUAAUACCGCAUACGAUCUAAUCUCGGCAUCGAGGAUAGAUGAAAGGUGGCCUCUACAUGUAAGCUAUCACUGAAGGAGGGGAUUGCGUCUGAUUAGCUAGUUGGAGGGGUAACGGCCCACCAAGGCGAUGAUCAGUAGACGGUCUGAGAGGAUGAACGGCCACAGUGGGACUGAGACACGGCCCAGACUCCUACGGGAGGCAGCAGUGGGGAAUCUUCCGCAAUGGACGAAAGGCUGACGGAGCAACGCCGCGUGAGCGAUGACGGCCUUCGGGUUGUAAAGCUCUGUUAAUCGGGACGAAAGGCCUUCUUGCGAAUAGUGAGAAGGAUUGACGGUACCGGAAUAGAAAGCCACGGCUAACUACGUG